ensembl:snRNA U4 U4 spliceosomal RNA
AGCUUUGUGCAGUGGCAAUAUUGCAGCCAAUAAGGUUUAUCUGAGGUGUGAUUAUUGCUAAUAAAAGGGCCAAAUUAGCCUAGAUUAUUGCUAAUCUUCACCAAACAAGUUAUUCCAAGCUCCCAAAGUACUUUACAAGGUUGAGUACCCUCUUCAGACUCCCAGGAAAUAGUUUAAUACAUUAUUAAUG